rnacentral:lncRNA from 1 species
GAACAACUCCCUUCUUCACAAUCAUCUCAAUGGGCUCCUUUGGACCAUCAGUCAGGCACAAAGAAAUCUCUCAUUUGUGGCGUGCAGAUAAGAUUCUGUGAAGAAAUCACUUUUAUUUUUAAUUUUGACUAUGAAAACUGGUACAACACAAGCCCUGUCCUGUCCUGAUGGACUCUGAUCCCUAUGCACCCGUAAGAGAAAAUCAACUCUGUCAUCUGGAAGUUUUGGUCUAGGAGCAUGGGUGCUUUGGCAAGAAGUCAUAUCCAAAGACCUGCUAGGUCUACAUGAUAUGAGCUGGAAUGCAGACACACCCUGGAUCCCAGUAUGAUCCCACUAGAAUUCAGAGUUACCUGAGCCUUGGAGGAAUGCAGAGGAUGAUACAGACAUCCCAAUUCUUAUGAAUAUUAAAAGCUCCUCACAUAUUCUCUGUACUUUAGUAGUUAUGAAUCCUGCAUUAACCAUCAUCCACUGAAAUAAAAUUCUUUGACAAGGUCUGAAAAC